UACGUAGGGGGCAAGCGUUAUCCGGAUUUACUGGGUGUAAAGGGAGCGUAGGCGGCAAUGCAAGUCAGAAGUGAAAACCCAAGGCUCAACCAUGGGAUUGCUUUUGAAACUGUGUUGCUAGAGUGCAGGAGAGGUAAGCGGAAUUCCUAGUGUAGCGGUGAAAUGCGUAGAUAUUAGGAGGAACAUCAGUGGCGAAGGCGGCUUACUGGACUGAAACUGACGCUGAGGCUCGAAAGCGUGGGGAGCAAAC
rnacentral:rRNA from 1 species